rnacentral:tRNA from 1 species
GUGUCUGUAGCCUAGUUGGUAAAGGCAGUACUCUACAAUGUGUCUCACAAUUUCUGAGGUCUUGGGUUUGAGUCCCACCAGACACA